CCGACUUCUCUGAACUCCAGUUCCGGGCGAGUCUCUGGGGACCCAGACUCAUACGGGGAGAAACUGGACUGUCUGGCAGUGGGCGGA
rfam:Myotis lucifugus cont2.1147, whole genome shotgun sequence.